CCGAAUUAUAGACAUGUUUUGGAAAUUUGAAGAUGACAAUUCAACUUCUUUUAAGGAAAGCGAGUAGAUUGGGUGAAUACAGAGACUACCUGUUAUAUCAAAAUGUUAACAAGACGUGUGCUGUUGUUCGACGUGACUGGUUCUGGUACCACACAGUGGAAGGAAA
rnacentral:lncRNA from 1 species